UGGAUUAUGGUCUCAUUCGGUCUAAAUGAGGGACAUGUACUGAGUAUUUUUCUUUUUUUUUGAUGAGCCAUCACACAGUGGAUUUAUAAAAAUGAGACUACAGAACAUCAGACGGAAGCUUCAAUGGAGUUGACGUGAGAGGACAUCAUCAAUAAAGAAUGCCAUUGACCAAACCUUCAGUCAUCAAAAGAGAUGGAUACAGGUGGACAUUGAGUUUUCCAGACUUACCGAUAGGAAAGAAGACAUGUUUAUCAGGAAAUGGGAGGUGACAAUUAUUGAGAAAUUCGGGGAAAUAGCAUCUUUAGAGAAGAAAAUGGACAUCAGACAUUCAUUGAGGAAAGCUGUCAGUCAACAUAAUGAUGAGCUGUGUUAUACUCGUUCAUCUUCUGCUGUGUGAAUUCUGCUGUCUCAGACCUGUGGGACUUGGUGCCGGCUGGUACCAGCGUGAGCUCUUUGCUUACUUAAUGAUGAAAAGGUGUCUAAAAUCAGCUCAGCCACAGUUGGUUUCCAGCGGUUCUUCAGGACAUAGAGGCCACUACAUAAUUGUCGCAAUGAACGAUUCUCUUGCCUUUCCACUUGAUGUUGACAAGCUGACCUGUGCGGUAGACAGACUUUUCAAAUUAACUAGCUAAGUAACCUUAAGUAUCCCUGCCAACUGUCUUCAGUUUAUUUUUUGUAUGAAUAUGAUCUACCCUUGUCCCAGUCCUCUUGCAAACGAUCCAAGGCAAUGGAGUUUCAAGAUGGACCGCAAAAUUGCAGUCUGUUUUAAACAAUGCAUGCACUAUGUGGCGGUUUCCCGGACAGGGAUUAGAUUAGUCCUAGACUAAAACAUUUUUAAGAGCUGUCCAAACUGAAAACAACUUGCACUGACAUAUCUUAAAAUACAUCAGUGUCCUUUGUUUUGCCUCAAAAUGCACACAGGUAAUGUUUUUAGUAAGGCAUGUUUGUUAAAACCAGUUAUAUUUCCUAAUUAAUCUAAGAUCUAGUCCUGGAUUAAGAUAAUCCCUGUCCGGGAACCCACCCCUAAAUAUUUGUGAUGGAAAUUUCUUUGAAUACACUUGUCAAGUUCAUUUGAAGUAUUUUUCUAAAUGUAAGAUAACAUGUUAAUGUUUCAGGACAAGUUAAGAAUUUUUGAUAACUUGCAUGUUGAAAAUGAUUUCAGACAUUGUUCUAUUCAACAUGUUUAACACAUGCUUUUAAAUUCAAAGAAUUAUUUUAUAAAUAGUGUUUUAAAAUGUAUGAAUGUAAUGUAUGUUUGAAGUGAUUAUACUUGCACUUACAUUUAUUUAAAUUAGCAUACAUCUAGCAACAUACAGUACUAGCAUAUUUUCAUGCUAGCAUUAAUUGUCAAAUAUUUGUUAUUUUACAAAUAAA